GACUCAGUAGUUCAAUGGUAAAGCGCUCUUCUCAGGGCUAUUGUGUUCUGGGUUCGAUUCCCAGUGGGGUCG
rnacentral:tRNA from 1 species